CACCUAGGGAUGCGUUUGCUAUGCAUGAGUAGUCCUGUGGACUUCAUGGGCUCUGCUUGCUGGUUGGAAAUGCAGCUUGUUUGUGCUCAGGGAUCAGCCAGUUCUCACUGCAGCAGAGCUGUUCCAGGCAGUAAGGCCACAGGGAUAGAGCUGAAGGGAAACUACUGGAAGCCAUUGGGAAAGGCCUACUACGUCAUCUUGUCCCUGGUCUGCCAUGUACUUUUUAAGGAAAGGGCCUACCUGCCAGGAGAAUGGAUAAAUUCUGUAACAUUACAGUGGUGUUCGCUUGGCAGCAUCUGCAGGAGCCACUAA
rnacentral:lncRNA from 1 species